GUUCACUGCCUGAACAGGCAGCUUAGAAA
rnacentral:other from 1 species